GGGCAGAGGGUCAGGAAACAGGCAAGGCAGGUUGAAGGAAUCUGGUCCGGGUCAGGAAACAGGCAAAGCAGGCAGGUCAGGGGCAGGCAGGGUCGGCAAUGAGAGAUCUGUUCAGGGAAGCGCGCUGGACAGACUUGCAUGAUGCGGAGUACAAUCUGGCAGUGAAGUGGAGGCCAGAGGAGGCUUAAAUACCAACUAGUCUUAAUUGUUUGCAGCAGGGAGAGUCAGGUGAGCUGCAGAGGAGGCUAGCAGAAGCUGCUGCAGUCAGAGUCAGUGUGCUGUGUGCAGACACAGCGCUGGGCGGCCGCCGCCCUGCUCCCCUGCUCAGUCCCAGCAGAGCGCCGCACCCGCAGGGAUCCCUGUCAGCAGGGCAAGAAUACCAGCAGCCUGCAGUUCCCCGGUGCUGUGGCUGAACUCCAGCU